UUGCAGAGAGAAAUCACAGUG
rnacentral:snRNA from 1 species